AACUUUUCAGCUAGAGUUUGAUAGAGGAAAGCAGAAUUUCUAGUGUAGAGGUGAAAUUCGUAGAUAUUAGAAAGAAUACCAAUUGCGAAGGCAGCUUUCUGGAUCAUUACUGACACUGAGGAACGAAAGCAUGGGUAGCGAAGAGGAUUAGAUACCCUCGUAGUCCAUGCCGUAAACAAUGUGUGUUAGACGUUGGAAAUUUAUUUUCAGUGUCGCAGCGAAAGCGAUAAACACACCGCCUGGGGAGUACGACCGCAAGGUUAAAACUCAAAUGAAUUGACGGGGACCCGCACAAGUAGUGGAGCAUGUGGUUUAAUUCGAAGAUACGCGCAGAACCUUACCAACACUUGACAUGUUCGUCGCGACUUUAAGAGAUUAAAGUUUUCGGUUCGGCCGGACGAAACACAGGUGCUGCAUGGCUGUCGUCAGCUCGUGUCGUGAGAUGUUGGGUUAAGUCCCGCAACGAGCGCAACCCUCACUUUUAGUUGCCAUCAUUAAGUUGGGCACUCUGAAAGAACUGCCAGUGAUAAGCUGGAGGAAGGUGGGGAUGACGUCAAGUCCUCAUGGCCCUUACGUGUUGGGCUACACACGUGCUACAAUGGUAUCUACAACAGGAAGCAAAACGGCGACGUUAAGCAAAUCCUUAAAAGAUACCUCAGUUCGGAUUGCACUCUGCAACUCGAGUGCAUGAAGCUGGAAUUACUAGUAAUCGUGGAUCAGCGUGCCACGGUGAAUGCGUUCCCGGGUCUUGUACACACCGCCCGUCACACCAUGGGAGUUGGUUCUACCUUAAGGCAAGGUUUAAAGCCCUUGACCACGGUAUAGUCAGCGACUGGGGUGAAGUCGUAACAAGGUAACCGUA
rnacentral:rRNA from 1 species